rnacentral:lncRNA from 1 species
AGGAAACCAGGGCGCGCGGUGCCAGCUGCAGGUGAGACUUGGACAGGAGCUCCAGGGGGGCGUGAAACUCAACCUUUGGGGACUCAGUUUCCCCUUCGGGAGGGUGGGGACGAGAGCGGACAGCGCUGAGGGACUGGGCCCUGCAGGACCCACGAGGCUUCAGAUAUCUCCACGUGGGAGCGCCACACUCGCGCGGGGACGGAUAGUGGCUCUGGGAGUCUGGAGCGCGCGAUCACCAGCCGCACCCUGGGACGCCGCAACACCCGGACGCCCUAGUCCAGCCUAUCCAGCCUCAGUCUCCACCUCCGCGCAGUGGGGGCGUGGGCUUCUCUGUCCAGCCCCAGUACAUCCCCUACCAGGCAAGGGUCCUGGGGGACUGGGGGUGGUCAUUGGCGGGGUUGCCGGCGGUGUUUGGGUAGCAGGCGUGUCCCUGUUGCUUGGUGACCGGGGAGGUGGGGCGCUGCUGUUCUAGGAUUUGUGUGAGGCUGGGUCACCCAGCAACAACUCCGCCACCAGGCAGCCUCAGAGUCUCGCUGUCACCGGAUGCCUAACGCAAGUUUUUCCCUCCCCUUUUAUUUUUUGUCCAGAGGGGUUGGGGGGGGGCAGCGUGGGGUGGGUUUCUCCACAGUGGGAGGAGCUGCCAAAAUAGGGCUAGUCCCUUCUUGGUACACAAGAGGCACAGAGAGGUGGCUCCGCUUAGCCAAAGGCGCGCAGCAGGGAGGCGCGAAGCGAGAGGCAGUGUCAGCGUUUGCUUGCUGUGAAAUCUUGGAUGAGACUUCUGACGCUCCUUCCCCGGGCUUUAGUUGAAAGGACAGGACGAAGAGAAUCAAAAGCACUUCUGCGUUUGAGAAAGUUGGAAAGGAAAGUUGAUGAAAACAAACGCGAGCUGUUUUAGAGACGAGAUGAGAAGCUGAGCCGGCUCCAGUGAAAAGAGGCAUUGUUUCUGCCCUCUAAAACAGAAGAAAUAGGCUGAAUCUGAAGCAUGAAGGUUAAAGCUAGAUACGCACAGGCUGCCGGAAGAAUCUCCCAGGUUCCUCUUCGGGAGUUUUAGGGGUUGACGCUGGGGCUGUUUUGUUGAGGUAAUAGACUAGUUGUAUUGAGUUAAAUAAGUAUGUUUGAUCUGCUGAUGUGGGGAGCAAUCUGUGGGUGUUGCAGGCCGUAUGGGUUUGUCCCUUGGCUGUCCCCUGUUCCGCAGGAGGGACAAGUGCCCACGCGGGUAUUUCCUCCCAGAGGCCAGCUGGUUUGCAUCGGAACCAUGUGAUCCUGGCUCUCUUGAGAGGGGAUUUCAUCAGCUUCCAGAGCCGGGCUUUCCAGAGGGCCUGGGGCUUUAUAGACACAGAGGGCCGCAUUGGGAGGGGAGUUGGAAACUGCACUGUGUUUUGUCCCCUGUGGGCAGAGCUGCAUUUCAGAGAAUCCACAGACCUUGUGUAUAUCAGAGUCCCAUGUCGCCUCCUCCAUGGGCAGAUCUCGAGAUGCAACAGGAGGUCGCUGGCAGGCUUUACUUCUGAGCACCUCAGUUUACCCCUCUAAAAAAUGGUCAGGGUAGUAUUCCCUCUGGUAUCAUCUUCAAGUCCAGUUGGGUGACAUCUUAGAAAGCUUUUGUUCAGCAUCCCCAACUAAGUUUAGAGAUGAAGUCAGAGAAAGAACAGAUCAACAGUCAUAGACAUUGGUGACAAUGGCUAGUGCACUGACUUCAGGUCACUGUACCACGAGUCUCACUGUAGGAGUGAGGUAGCU